GUCAAAAAUGACUCUCGGCAACGGAUAUCUCGGCUCUUGCAUCGAUGAAGAACGUAGCGAAAUGCGAUACUUGGUGUGAAUUGCAGAAUCCCGUGAACCAUCGAGUCUUUGAACGCAAGUUGCGCCCGAAGCCAUUAGGCCGAGGGCACGCCUGCCUGGGUGUCACUAG
rnacentral:rRNA from 1 species